rnacentral:rRNA from 1 species
UUUCGCCCUCAAAUCAGGUAGGACUACCCGCUGAACUUAAGCAUAUCAAUAAGCGGAGGAAAAGAAACCAACAGGGAUUGCCUCAGUAACGGCGAGUGAAGCGGCAAAAGCUCAAAUUUGAAAUCCUUCGGGAGUUGUAAUUUGUAGGUUGGGAGACCCCGCGGCUAGUGGCACCAAGUCCCUUGGAACAGGGCGCCUUAGAGGGUGAGAGCCCCGUAGGUACCACAACACCGUCUUGUGUCUCCUCUCCAAAGAGUCGAGUUGUUUG